rnacentral:lncRNA from 15 species
UCACCAGGAGAGACCUUUUUUGUGCUUUGCAUUAUAUUAAUUUAUUCUUAAUUGUGUGUGUGUGUGUGUGUGUGUGUGUGUGUGAGUGUGUGAGUGUGUGAAUUACUGUGUUGAAGUGUCUCUCUCUCCUGUGUGGUUGAAGGACCUCCCCUUGCAGCAACCUGGCACACCUGCAAGUACUAAUCACCUUCCCAAUUAGAUAAAAAGGAGGAAGUGGAGCAGGAUGGUGGCCGGGGAAAUCCAACAGAUACAACAAGAGAAGAAACAGGAGCAGCAAGGGACAUGCUGGCUGAACUCCACCCCCCCUACCUGCAGUCAAUGAGAAGUAAGGACUGGCUGGACAGCUUUUGGACCUCGAAUUGAAUCUGCACAUGAGCAUUUAGAGAGGACAGGAUACGCUACUUUCAGCCAAUCAACACAAAUGUAAACAAACGAGCCAGAGAGGACGGUUAAAUGUGAAGGUCCGGAGAUGCUGCUCAUGCUGCAUGGACGGGGUAACCACAUGGAUGGGUUACCUCAUGUACAACGUCAACUGAAUGUGACUCACCUGCUGCUACCUGUUUCCUCCACCUGGCACACUGUUGGAGGGUCCGCUCCUCGCCCUCGGACUGACACCCACCCUCUGUAACUGGGUGCUGAACUUCCUCA